rnacentral:snRNA from 1 species
GUGCUUGCUUUGGCAGCACAUAUAUUAAAAUUGGAACGAUACAGAGAAGAUUAGCAUGGCCCCUGUGCAAGGAUGAUAUGCAAUUCAUGAAGCAUUCCAUAUUUUU